AUUGAACGCUGGCGGUAGGCCUAACACAUGCAAGUCGAACGGCAGCACAGUAAUAGCUUGCUCUUACGGGUGGCGAGUGGCGGACGGGUGAGGAAUACAUCGGAAUCUGCUUUUUCUUGGGGGGUAACAUAGGGAAACUUACGCUAAUACCGCAUACGACCUACGGGUGAAAGCAGGGGAUCUUCGGACCUUGCGCGAUUGAAUGAGCCGAUGUCGGAUUAGCUAGUUGGCGGGGUAAAGGCCCACCAAGGCGACGAUCCGUAGCUGGUCUGAGAGGAUGAUCAGCCACACUGGAACUGAGACACGGUCCAGACUCCUACGGGAGGCAGCAGUGGGGAAUAUUGGACAAUGGGCGCAAGCCUGAUCCAGCAAUACCGCGUGGGUGAAGAAGGCCUUCGGGUUGUAAAGCACUUUUGUUGGGAAAGAAAAGCAGCAGGUUAAUACCCCGCUGUUAUGACGGUACCCACAGAAUAAGCACCGGCUAACUUCGUG
rnacentral:rRNA from 1 species